CCACUAUCAAGCGCUCCAGGACGCUACUCUGAAUUUUACUGAACCUUUGCCCAUCACACAAGGACUCCUCGACAAAAUAAAACAACAUUAAAGUCAUCUCCAAUGGAAAUUCCAGUAUUGUAUACAAUGUUCAGCCUGUGUUAGUACAUUUGAUAAUAAUUGUGACGUCUACUGAAAGUGCUUAUUACAAAGGAAACAAG